UACGAAGGGGGCUAGCGUUGCUCGGAAUCACUGGGCGUAAAGCGCACGUAGGCGGUUUGCUAAGUCAGGGGUGAAAUCCUGGAGCUCAACUCCAGAACUGCCUUUGAUACUGGCGGACUUGAGUACGGGAGAGGUGAGUGGAACUGCGAGUGUAGAGGUGAAAUUCGUAGAUAUUCGCAAGAACACCAGUGGCGAAGGCGGCUCACUGGCCCGGUACUGACGCUGAGGUGCGAAAGCGUGGGGAGCAAACAGG
rnacentral:rRNA from 1 species